UUCACUUCUCAGCCUUUUGGCUAAGAUCAAGUGUAGUAUCUAUUCUUAUCAGCGGGUGGGAUAUCUUCUAGUUGAGGGAGGUAUGGAAGUCCCCAUAUGUUUGUGGCGGGCAGUGAACCACUU
rnacentral:snRNA from 1 species